UUUUGGACGAGUCUGUAACACCGUGAGCUACUGAAAGUGAGUUAAGCUUCAUGUCCCAUGGUGCUGCAAUAAUCAUAUUAGCAGCAUGAAAGAAAUGCAGAUUACCUGGAGAAAACCCACUCAGAUCAUGAGGCACUACAUGGUCUGUUUCUGGGAGAUACAAGUGGUGUAUGUGUCAGAAGGUGUAUGUGAGAACUGAAAAACAAUUCUAUCUGCAUACUGUUACCAGGUAUAGGGGGAGCACAAACAUAUACCCGUGGGUGUACCAGAUAAAAGAUUGUAUUUUUUUUACUAUUGAAUGAUUAUAUUAUUGUUAUGAUUAUAUACUCUUUACACAUUCACCCUUUCUUGUAUCUGUGACUAGCUCUGUAUAUAAGACAUUCUAUGACUGCAGAAAGCCUAAUCAUUAAUAAUGAAAUGUUAUUUAUAAAUAUCUUACUGGGAAUGCCUAUUAUAGAUCGCCUAUAUAUACAGUUUCAACAAAUGCCCAUUAGAACUGAAAAGUGAAAGACUACAUUUCCCCACACUGCCUUGCACAUUUGUUUUCUCAUUCUUUACUGGUCUGUUCAGGGCCGGCCUUAAGCCGAUUGGACCGAUUGGGUCCAAUUGGGCCCCGCGCUCUUGGGGGCCCCGCACUAGCCAUCAUAUACAGACAUCAGAAUUUUUACUUCAGAAGUCACGAUGUAUU